UAAUAUUGUUGCUUUUAUCUGACCAUUUAGACUUUACAACAUUAAUUGAAGAGAAAAUGUUGAUUUUAUAUGUUGCAUGUACUGGUCAGUAAAUUUUAUCAAAUAUAUUGUGUUCUAUAUUGACAGUUAUUGAAGGUAUCAAGGGACCUAAGUUGAUAAUUCGGAACGUUCCAAGAUAUGCCAGUGAUAAUUACACUUGUAAAGCAACAAACGAUCACGGAUUCAAGGAAAAAUCUAUACAACUCACUGUUCAGUUUUUACCGGAAGUAAGUGUAAUGGAGUCUGUGAUACAUGUCGCACCUAGUGAAGCGGUGACAAUGGGCUGUGCUAUUCAAGCAUCCCCAAUGAAAGAGGCUUUUUGGAUAAACAGUAAGGGCCAGAGAAUUACAACAGAUUGGAAAUAUGAGGUUUUAGAAGAAGAAGAAAAUGAUAAUUUUCCAGUGCGCUUUCUUGAGCUCCGUAUAAAGCAACAUAGGAUUUCAGUGCACGACAUGGGCAAUUACACGUGUCACGCCGAGGGAGAAAAUGGUGGAACCAAUAAGACAGUAUUACUUGUUGUGAAUACUUAAUAUUUAGUGUAACUAUUUGAAUACUUCCUGUAGGGAAGGAAAAGCUACUUGCACUUAUACAGGAUUAAUAUGGUCAUGUUCGAGAUCAGUAUACAAUUCGCCAUUUAAAACAAAUGCAAUUUAUCUUGCAAAAAAUCCGUACAUGUGUAUGUUACUUGCGGAAUUCUUCGAAGGACGUUAAAUAAGAGACAUAUAAAUAAGAGACAUAUAAUAAGAUUAAACAAACUGCAGGGAUCACCUGGACUGAAAUCACGUGGAUUACGAUAACGAGCGAGAAUUUUUGAGAUUAGAGAUUCAGCUGCAACGGCUGAACUCCGGUUAUAAUUGUUUUGUUACUGUUAAAAGACUAAUGAAUAAAUUGAUUAAAUCUAAA